rnacentral:lncRNA from 1 species
GUGUUGCCAAUUGAACUUCAUUGGUACUGGUAGAAUAUGGCAGAUGAGAAGAAACAAAACCUGGAAAACAAAUCUGUGUUGUCUCAACCUCUACCCGAGAGGAAGAAAAACAACUUACCAAACUUCUUUUUAUCUGUUCAGCUCAAAUAUGUGAAACUUGGUUACCACUACUUGGUUUCCAAUGCCACGUACCUCAUGCUCUUGCCAGUACUUUGCGUGAUUUUUGCUCAUCUUUCAACAUUCACGGUUGACGAGCUUUGGAAUCAACUCAAAUUCAAUUUAGUGACAGUAGUUCUUUCACUACUAAAAAAAAAAAAGGUAUUAGCAUCUGAAUUUAGCAACGGAUAAUUCCGUUGCUAAAUUCAGUAACGGAUUUGCAACGAAUUAUACAUAUAUUAUUUUUUUAAUAUCAGCAACGGACUUUAGCAACGGAUAAUCCGUUGCAAAAUUUACGUUGAAUUUAGCAACGGAUUUUCCGUUGCUAAUUAAAAAAAUAAUUAUUUAAAUUUUAAUAUAAAACCAAAAUUACGAACACCGUUGAUUACAUUUACAAGGAUUAAAUCUCAACCGUUUAUUUUUCGCUGGCUUUGGUAAAUCUACACUAGUGCUCUCCCCCCACACCGAAAUGCAAACAGAGACAAAAUGAACAAAACCAACAGAUGAAAAUUAAUGAUCUUCCACUCUUCCAGUCUCCUUCGUCCCUAACAACAUCGAUCCAUAACUGUAGAAAAAUCACCCUCUCUUUAUCGAUUUGAUUUUCCUUUAUCCCAAACAUUUCAUCUUCUUCGCAUCUUCAGCAUCCCUAAUUUCUUUUCUUCAUCUUCUUCUCCUUCAUCUGAACAAAAUCGAACCAAACCCAUCAUUAUCACCAUCGAACAUGCUGAUUUAAGGUAUCUCCUUGUAAACGGGUUGGGUGUUUCACAGUUUUCUUCAAUAGUUCAGGUAAGUAAUUAAGGGUUUUUGUUUUUGUUUGUUGCAAUUUAACUUGCACUAAAAAUUUUUCACCUAACUUUCCCAAUCCAGGUUUCUUUCUGUCCUGUAGAACGAUCUCGGUCACCUGUAACUCAAGAACACAGGUAACUUUUUUUUUUUCAAUACUUUGAAUAAUGGUUUUAGGCUAUUAAUUUGAUAAUAUAGGGGUUUAUGAAAUGUUUUUACCAUGAUCUAUAACCUAAUUAUGCAUGUGUAAUUGAAAAUUUAUCAAAACCCCCAAUUUAAUUUUUAGGGUUACGGUUCAUAAAUUUUUUGAUGUCCCAGCAGUUGAGCUAUAAUCAUUUUUGCUUCCCUUUGGUUUCUUUUUGCCAGUAGAUAGUUGUUUUCCCCCAUGAGAUACCUUCAUAUCAUCGUGUAAGUGGGAUGCAUUUUUCUCUUCAAACUACUGUUUUGUAAGAUCCAAUGUUAUAUCUCCACAUUUUCUCAUCUCCUCAGGCAUAUAAUUGUCUUUAAACAAAGCAAGGCUUUUUGGCUAAAUAACUCCUUCUUUGCCCCACUGAAAUUGGCUCUGAAUAUUAUACCCUGUUGUAACUUGCUACCCUGUUGCUUCAACUUUUUACAUUGUAAUGCUCUACUUCUAUAAUUUUGAAGUGUUACAGCAGCGUAUGGAUGCUGUUAAAAUAUAAAGAGUCUAGCAACUGGUUAACCUGUGAUGCAUUUUGUUCUUCUGUAGCAGUCCAAGUUUUUCUUUUUUUUCUUGCUGUGAUUUGAUUGAGCAUGCUUGCAGAGUUUUAGUGCUGCCUUUUAGUCACAGCCAAUCCAACUUACUAGGAUGUGGUGGUUGCUGAUUCCUGUAGAUAUUAUUUCAAAAUAUGCAAUUAUUAGUUUUAGUUGCAAAACUUAUACGCACUUAUUUUCCUUGACAAAAUUCAAAUUUUACGAUCCUAUUCAUAUUUGUAAUAUCAUAUCAUUUUCUGGAAUAAUCCACCUUUUAUUUUGCUGUGUUAUGCAGGAGGAACCUCAACUAUUUCAAUUUGUUCCAAAUUAAAAGCAGGUACCAUUUGUUUAGACCACAUUGUAUUAACAAAGUUGUAUUUAUUGUGAUAGAUUCAUAAUUCUGUUUAUCUGAUUUAUGCUCUCACAGGUCAAGGCAGCACACCAACUUCUCAAGACUAUUCCACAUAGCUAUGGGAGCAGGAGGGUUGAUGGAGUUCCUGUUUUCAGCAAACAAAAUUCAGAAAUUGCAAUAGCUACCAAAGACGGGAUUAAGUGGUGUGUAUUGAUUCUCUUGUAUCAAAAUUUAAAUAUGCAUAUUUAAAUUUUCAGGGCAUAAGACUGUUUUUUUUCUUUCCUUAUUCAAUUCAGAAAAAAAAAUUGUUAUAAGAAGACAAUUGCCAUGAAAAUAUGAAAACUAAACAGUACUUUAACUUGGAUAUUCUUUCUGUUUUUCAUAGUUUAACUUAGAUUUGUUUCAAAGACUAGCAAUUGAUAAAGCUGGAUGGGUUUAACAUACUGUUUAUGUUUUUUAUUUUUCCAGCAAUAUGAAUGGCUUAUUGGAUCACAAUAUAAAUCAAUAGAGUUGGCUAAGUCUGAUUGGGUUGCAACAAGGAAAUCUCCACCUUGGGCCAUUGAUUAUUGGGGCUUUGGUAAGUCAAUUUUGCUCCAUUUUUUGAUGGUUGCUUAAUUAGAUUAUGCUUAAUUUGUCUGCUGGGCAUGCCUAUUGUAAUCUUUUCAAUUAAUUAGAACUUUGCUUUUCAUUGGGAUAAGAUUAUUCAUAUUUAAAUUUAUUGUCCUUGUAGAUCCUAGUUUUGGAGGUUUAUGUGAACAUGAUGCUGGGAUUAUAUUCAAUUAACUUUUCUGGGCAUAGUACUGUCUUUUUUAUUUCUGCUUUUACAUAUUGCUUCCUGAAGUUCAUGUUUUUAGUAUUUUUCCUCUUAAGAAGAAUAAGAAUAAGCCUCGAUCUUCUUUAUUUAAUUUCAAAACCAUGAAGGCAUUUAGAGGCCCAAAUCCCAUUUUGAUUAUUUGGUUAGACAAUAUAAAUCAAUGACAAGGUAAUUUAGAACUUUGGGUGGGUAGUUCAAAAAAUAAUAAUUAAUGCUUUUUACAAUAAGAUGUGGGGGGAACAUUACAAGAGUAAAAAGAAUGGGGUAAGAGGUGAUAAGGACAUAUUUAAGGGCGAAAUCUUAUGGGGAAACUUUAUUUUUACUAGUGGAGGGUGUGGUGACUGUUUAAGGAUUCCUUAAUUUAUCUGUAAAGUCGUGGUGUUUUGUAGCUUUGAGGUAAAAUUGGAUUUAUAAUUACGGGGAAAGAAAAUAAAAUUAUUGGUUGACAGCAAACUGUUGCGCUGUGAAUGGAUGGUGGAGGAAUGAGGAGAUGUUUUGGACUGUUAUAAUGCUACAUUGAUUUAUUUAUUUAUUCUCCACUGUAAAGAUAUUUAUUUUCAAAUUAAGUUGUAUAUCAACUGGAAAGUAAAUCUCUUAUGUUACACGGGCCUCAUAUGACAUCAUCAUAAAUGAAAGUAUUGCUGUAAAUUAAAGCACAGACAUCAAUUGUUUUUCCUUCCAUUUCAUGUAGUAAUAAAUAAGAAUUGGAUUGAAUAAUUUCAAGAUAAAAGAGACCUAAAGCAACGCUUUUUCCUGAGGUGAAGCAGUUUGCCAAGCAUCUAGGUUACAUAUUAUUCUUGCUUCUGAAAGAAAAAGUAGGAGUUUGAAUGCUUGUGAUGGAAGAAAUAAGACCAAACAAGAUUCUUGAUUUAUUGAUGCACAUGCAACAAUUAAUAGCACCAGUCUCUUUUGCUUUAUUUGUUGAGCCAUCAAAUGACACUAGUUGUGGGUGAUUUUUGUUUUUUCCAAGCUUAUAUUGGAAUUCCCGAAGACUACAGUACUGUGUGGAUGUUAAUGGGAGCACACGUAUAACCAGUUUAACCUAGAAAUAAUAAUAAUAAUAAGAAAAAAAACAAUUCUUGAGUUUUGAGAACCAACAUCUAUGGACAUCAAGCAAUUACCAGUCUGCUUGGUCAUUAAAUUAUAUGCCAUAUUCUAAUUAGUUAGUUAGGUUUUUUUUUUAAAAAAUAAUCAAAUCCCCUCUUAUCAUGUGCUUUAUUUAUAAGAGAUCUCAAGAACUUGAGUACUCCACAUAAAAUCAAAAGGGUAAACUAAAGAAAAAGGAAAAAAAAAAAAAGUUCCCCAUUCAGGAGUUACUAACUAGUGAAGUUUUAUUGCAAGUAAUGAUUUCCCAUUUGAAAAGGAGAUGUCUGCUUUUUUCUCCUGCUAAAUUCCAACAAAUUCCAAUUAGCUAGCACAUAUAUGGAAGACCUUGUCUUCUGGAUCAUUUCAAGCUUUUUACACAAAGCAAGCAUCCGAUCCCUCUGUGCAUUUUAUUUCCCUUCAUGUCUUUCCACCCUCUCAGACGCAUCCUUGGAAUCAAUUUAACUUGGAUUUGUUUUAAAGACUAGCAAUUGUUAGAACUUGAUGGGUGUGACAUACUGUUUAUUUUUUUUAUUUUUCCAGCAAUAUGAAUGGCUUAUUGGAUCACAAUAUAAUCCAAAAGAGUUGGCUAAAUCUGAUUGGGUUGCAAUAAGAAAACCUCCACCUUGUGCCAUUGAUUCUUGGGGCUUAGGUAAGUCUAUUUUGCUCCAUUUUUACAUGGUUGCUUAAUUAUAUCGUGCAUAAUUUUUUUGUUGGGCAUGCCUAUUGUAAUCUUUUCAAGUAGUUGGAACUCUGCCUUUCAUUGGGACAAUAUUGAUAGUUUGUAUAAGAAAACUAAUUGAAUGAUUUUCUUUUAUUAAAUCUGAUAUUGAGUUUAUUUUGGAUGAAAAUUAUGAGACCAAAAUGAAACCUAGAGGUGGCUGAAUAAUAUAUCAAUUAAUUGCAAAUUUAAAUGUUGUGCUAUUUGUGAAGUCUUGAAACAUAUUGUAUUAAGAGAUUGAGAAGACAACAUUUCUCUUACGGUCUGCUCAUGUCAAUUAAUUAACAAUAAUAUUAUGCUCCAUACGUAUUAAGAGAAGAAAAAAGACAACAAAUCUACUAGUACAUGAAAUUAACUAAUUUGGAUUGUGCUUAAAGAAUUUAUAAAACAAAUGUAUUUAUAUUUUCAUCCACCAGUAUUAUAAUUAUUAUCUAAUUAUUAUUUCACUACGACAUAAAAGAUAGAUACAAUGUAUAUGAUAAGAGACAAAGAUACAAAUGUGAGUAACUAUUAUAACCCAUAAUAAAUUAUGUUUUUUUUUAUAUUGCAUUUUCAUCUUUUUUAAAAAAUAAAAAAAAUUCUUUAAUCUUGUAUUACCUCGCAUGUUUCUAAUUUCAUUUACCAUUUCUUAGUUGAGCAAAAAUAGAUCUGAAUAAAAAUAAAAAGUUUGAUGGAUCCAAUAAAAAUAAAAGGAUCCAAAUAAAAUAAAAAAAACUAUUUCAGGUGGUAACAAAAGUUAGAAGGACCAAUAAAAAAAAUGAACUCCAAAACUAUUAUAAAGAUAAAUUUAUUUAAUAUUUGUUCAACUAAAUAUUUUUUUUUCUUUAUCCAUUCAUUCUGUAUAAAAUACUAACCGAACAUAAUCUAAAAAGUAUAUUUUUGUCACUAGUUAGAAAAUAUAAAUGACAAUAUGAGUGUGUGGGAAUUCCUCACACACUCAUAUUGUCACACUAAACAGCCCAUAUAAUUAAAAACUCAAUAAGAAAAAGUAGAAGAAAAACAAUUAUCCAUUUUUUAGCUUCAUAAUGUUUGAGCUGGACAAAUAAUUAAAGUUUAUUCAUGUGGUACAUAUUUUAUUUUAAAGGAUUGUUUAAGUACUAGUAGUUAAAGAAGUAUGCUUAUUUCAAAAAAUGCUUAUUGGUGUUAUCAUGUUAAUUAGAUUAACAUGGAUGAUCGAUCGUGGAUGUAUCGUCGUCUUAUGGAUGGUCGCCUUCGUCCUGAAUACAUUACUGGUGUUAGAAGAUUUAUCAAUUUUGCAUUUUCAAUUGAUAAAAAUAUAUCUGGGGGAAAAAUUAGAUGUCCUCAUGUGAGGUGCAAAAAUCAAAAGUUUUUAAAGGAAGAUGAUGUUUGUAAACAUCUAUUGACAAAAGGUUUUUUACCUUGUUAUGAAAAUUGGACUGUACAUGGGGAGCCUUAUGUCGCAGAACCAAUAUUGGCUGGACUUUCAUCGAUUAUAAUGAGUCAUGAUGUGAAUGAUGUUUGUCUAGAGAAUCCAUAUAGGAAUCUGGUUAUGGAUGCAAUGGGGGUUGGUGAUGCAUUCUAUAAUGAUAAUGUGUCUAGUCCUAUGGUAGCAGGGGAAAUUCCAAAUCCGGAGGCAACUAAAUUUUUUAAGCUUUUGAAAGCUGCGGAGGAGCCGUUGUGGGAUGGGUGUAACAAGCAAUCCAAAUUAUCUGCUUGUGUACAAUUGUUUAAUAUGAAGUCAACUUUAAAUUUGACUCAGAAUGCCUUCAACAAUUUUAUUGACUUUACAAAAAGUUACAUGCCUAAUGAUGAAAAUUUGGUUUCAAAUUUUUAUGAUGCCAAGAAAUUUAUGCGGCCACUUGGACUUGGUUAUGAGAAAUAUGAUGUGUGUCCUAAUUACUGUAUGCUGUACUAUGGGGCAGAUGCAAUGAAAAUAAAUUGUGAUUUUUGUGGAAGUUUACGAUACAAACCUAGAAAUCCAACUAGUAAAGGUUCCAAUAAGGCGGAGAAGCAACUCCGAUACUUUCCUCUAACACCAAGGUUUCAGAGACUAUUCAUGUCUCCAUAUCAUGCCAAAGAUAUGACAUGUCAUCAUUUUCAUAAGUCUGAUAAUGGGGUUAUGAUGAACCCAUCUGAUGGGGAGGCAUGGAAGGAGUUUAAUCGUGUCCACUUAAGCUUUGCAUCAGAUCCGAGAAAUAUUCGGUUAGGGUUGUGCACUGAUGGGUUUUGUCCAUUUGACAUGUCUUCAAAUACAUACUCUUGUUGGCCAGUAAUUGUAACUGUUUAUAAUUUGCCUCCGUGGAAGUGCAUGACUAGACCAUUCAUGUUUUUGACAAUGAUGAUUCCUAGGCCAAAGAAUCCGGGUAAAAAGCUUGAUGUUUUUCUAAGACUUUUGAUUGAUGAGUUAAAGAAUUUGUGGUUUUUUGGUGUUGAAACAUAUGAUGUAUACAGAAAGGAAAAUUUUCAAUUAAGGGCAGCUUUGAUGUGGACCAUUAGUGACUUUCCAGCAUAUGACAUGUUAUCGGGGUGGAGUACUCAUGGAAAUCUGUCUUGUCCUUAUUGUAGGAGCAUAGCAAGGCUUUUAGAUUAAAAAAUGGGGGGAAAACUAUAUUUUUUGAUUGUCAUCGACGAUUCCUACCCAUGAACCACCCAUAUAGAUUUCAAUCUGAUAAGUUUUUGAAAGGAGUAAUUGAAAGGCUUCCUCCUUUACCUCGUCCAUCUGGUUUGGAAAUGUUAAACGAAGUGUCCAAGUAUACUGAGGGACAUAAUGGAGGUUCAUCAUAUAAUAAUAAAAUUCCUGGCUUUGGUGUUAAGCACAAUUGGGUGAAGAAGAGCAUUUUCUGGGAGCUUCUAUAUUGGCAUACAAAUUUGAUUCGUCAUAAUCUUGAUGUCAUGCAUAUUGAGAAAAAUAUCUUUGACAAUAUUUUUUAUACAGUAAUGGAUUGUCCGAAUAGAAGCAAGGACAAUUUAAAGGCUAGGUUGGAUAUUCAAUUGUAUUGUCAGAAGCCAAAUUUACAUUUGCAACAAGAUAUGAGUGGUCGGCUUUACAAACCUAAAGGCACUUAUUGUCUACACAAGAAACAACAACAAGAAGUUUUGUCAUGGAUGAAGGAAUUAUCAUUUCCUGAUGGUUAUGCUUCAAGCAUUUCACGAUGUGUGAAAGAGGCACAAUGUAAGGUUUCGGGGAUGAAGAGCCAUGAUUGUCAUAUCUUCAUUCAAAUACUUCUUCCAACCGCUUUCCGACCUUACUUACCUAGGCCACUGUGGGAGGCAUUAACUGAACUGUCCGUAUUUUUUCGAGAUAUUUGUUCAACAAAUUUAAAUGCCCAGCACAUGGAGUUAAUGCAGAUGAAUAUAAUUGAAAUAAUUUGCAAACUUGAAAGGAUUUUUCCUCCAUCCUUCUUUGACUCCAUGAAACACUUGACGAUACAUCUACCUUACGAGGCAAAAGUUGGUGGACCAGUUCAAUAUCGAUGGAUGUAUCCAUUUGAACGGUAUGUUUUCAUACUAUGUUAAUUUUAUUCACUUUUUAUUUUUUAAAAAUAAACUAAUUGACAGAAAUGAUAUAGGUAUAUGUUUUAUUUGAAGAAGAAAGUGACCAAUAAAGCUAAAGUUGAGGGUUCCAUAUGUGAAGCAUACUUGAUUGAUGAAAUUACCAAUUUUGCAUCUCAUUAUUUUGGUGAUGACGUGCAAACAAUUUGGAAUCGAGUUCCACAGAAUGAUGAUGGUGGCCUUAGAAGUGUAGAUGGAUGUCUCUCUAUUUUUUCCUAUCCAGGGAAAAAAUUAUCCAAAAGAUUUUAUAAAAGGCAGUUGUCACAUGCUGAAAUGCAAAUUGCGCAUAACUAUAUGAUAUUCAAUUGUCAAGAACUGAAGCCUUAUUUAAAGUAAGUAUGAAAUAUUAUUUUGUACUAAAUUUAUAAUAAUUUAUUAUUAACUUUAACAUUUUAAAAUUUUAGGCAAUGUCGACAAGAGCUAAAGUCACAACAACCACAUGCGAGUGAUGGUGAAAUUGAAAAAUUAUGCGAAGCGAUCUUUCGAAAUUGGUUAAAAAAUAAUGUAAGUAUUUUAAUAAAAUUAAUUUAUAUUUUAUGUCAAUUAGCUACUUUAAAAAUAUUAUUAAUCUCUUUUAAAUCAUUAUUUCUUAUGGAGUUAACUAUUAUGCUAGGUGGAAUACCAAUCUAACGGAAUUGAAAAUCAGCUCUUUGGACUUGCUAUGGGCCCUUCAACUUCAGUGAAAUGUUAUAAUGGGUAUUAUGUGAAUGGUUUUAAAUUUCAUACUCAACGUUAUGGCCGUUUUAAAAAGACAAUGAAUAGUGGAGUUUGUGUGAAAGGAAGUUGCUAUGAUGAUAAUGAACGUGAUUAUUAUGGAAUGCUUAAAGAAGUUGUUCGGCUAAAAUACUUGGGGAGUAAGUGCAAGUUAUUUAUGUUUAAAUGUAAUUGGUAUGAUACAAAACGAGGGAUUAGAGUGCAUCCUUCGAAUGGUUUGGUUGAAAUCAAGCAUACAUCUCGACUACACGGAAAUGAAGAUUUUGUGUUAGCACAACAAUGUCAACAAGUCUACUAUACAUAUCCACCUGGUAAUAAAUCAUCUGAAUGGUGGACAGUUAUUAAGACAACUGCUAGAAGUCAUUAUAAUGUUGACAUGGGUGAAUUUAUUGAAGAUGCCAACAAUGUGAGAUCAUUUGAUGUUGAUCAAUCAGAUGAGAUUUCUCAACCAUGUCGUGUCCUUCCUACUCAAACACUUGAUGAUCCAAAUAUACUUGUUGAAUCAUCUUAUUAUGAAGAAAUCGGGCAACAUGAAUUGAUUCAACUUGACAUGAAUUGGGGAAACAAAGAUGAUGAAGAAGAAGAAGAAGAUGAUGGUGAUGGUGAUGGUGAAGAAGAAGAAGAUGAUGAUGAUGAGGAUGAUUGUUAUGGUGGUGAUGGUUAGGAAUGAUGAUAAUAAUGAGUAGCACAAGUUAAUUAUAUUUUGUAGUAUAUGUAAUGAAUUAUCUUUAUUAUAUGUAUGAAUGAUUUCAUAUUAUUUGACAAUAUUUAGGCUUUCAAUGUUUUUUUAUUUUAUUUUAUUCAAGUGUGUGUUAUGCAUCACAUUACAUAAAUCAUUUUCAUUCACCUUUGAAACCAUUUAUAACCUUUCAAGUAUCAAUCUUUAAAUUGUGAUUCUGAUGUUAUAUUUUAUUUUGUGAUUCGUUUUCUUGCUUACAGAUGCUGAAGCGUGAAAGAAAGGGUUCUUCCUACUCAAUGUUUUGAUUUAUAGGACCAAACAUUAAGGUAAGCAUACUCAUAAAUUUUGAUUUCUGCUUAAUUAAUUAUUUAGAUUUUUAUUUUUAUUAUUGUUUGUGUUAAUUGGAUUUUGACAAUUUAAACUUCAUGGCUGAGUUUUGUCAUUGUAAGGAAUGCUUAAUGAAAUUGUCUUGAUGUUAUUUAUAUAUUUGGUUUUGUUACAGUAAUUAUUUUAUUUGAAGUAUAAUAUUUUUCGGAGUGAUGACUAUUAAGUGGACAAUCCAUACUGAUUUUGAACUUCAUAAACUAGAUAUUGUUUGUAAUGAAUUGGGAAAAAAAUGAGAUUUAACAGUUUGUUUUCAUUCUAGUUAUGGCAGUCUUGGGAAAAUAUCUGUGAAUUUUUUGUUCCUGAUAGUUUAACUAUGAGCUAAUUUAUUGUUAUGUUGUAUAUAUUCAUAUUAAAUGUUAGUUAUUUUUUUCUGGUUUUUAGCAUGCCUCGACGAGGAUCCAUAUUAGAUUAUAGGAGUGACAGGUCCACAUCAAGGAGUGACAGGUCCACUUCAUCCAAGUCAUUUCAAACUACAUCAAGACAUAAUAACAAAGGAUCCACAUUUCAUCAACCUGUGUAUCAGAACGCAAAUGAGUAUUAUAUACCUACUUUGGGGAGUACACAUCCUCCUCAACAUGAUUAUGGGAGGGUUGAUGCAUAUCAAUAUUGUGAGGGCUUUCAUUUUCAAGAUUUGCUUCAAACUCAAGGAGGUUUCUCUCGAGAUAACCAACUUGUUUAUGGAGGACAUAAUUUAUAUGGGAGUUAUGGGAGAGUUGAUGGUAAUGAUGAUGAUGUGAACAUUAGAAAUGAAGAUGAGGGAGACGGUAGUAAUGAGAGAGGUGUAUAUGAUGAGAGAGAUGUAUGUGAUGAGGAUCAAGAUGGUGUUCCAUCAUAUCACGGUUCAACAUCUUCUCCAUACAAUUAUGAUCAAAGUGUUAAAAGGAAGGGUUUUGACACGUCAAUAGAUCCAAUAACAAGAAAAAAAGAGCUUUGUUUGUAUGGAACAACAGAGUAAGUUCAAACUUUUAAUAACUAACUUAUUAAGGUUAUAUUUUCAAGUAUGAAAAAAAUUACUUAUUAUUGUGUAAUUAUUUGUUUAAUAUAAGUUUGUUAUUAUAUAUUUUCAGGUUCAAUAACGCAUCGUGUGGCCGUGCAAUCGGAGAUAUUUUGAGGUCCAAUUUUAAGGGAGCCUGGCACUCUUGGGAAAAAGUAGAUCCAAUGUGCAAGGAUGAACUCUUUAAAGAGUUUAAAGUAAGAACCAACACUAAUUGCCAUAAUAUUCUUUUCAAUUUUGAUCACUUUAAUGUAGAAUUAUGAAAAUUAUCAAUUGAAUAGCUAUGAUUGAUUUGUGUUAUAAUUUGUUCUUAUUUCUUGUUUACUCUUUAAUAUCAUUUAAUUUCUUUAGUUAUUACAUCAUCUUGCAAAUUUUGAACAAGAUAACACAAUAUGAUUAAUUAUUUAUAUAAUUUGAAAUUUUGUGCACUCUUUUUACUUGGUAUAUAUAUUAUUUGGUAGAAAAAAUAUUCCUUUCCUGAGGAGGAUGAGUCGAUUGUUCGUAAUAUUUGGGAAGAUAAGGCUAGGAUAGCUUUGAAUCAACAAUUGACACGAGCUCGCAAGAAAGCUACGUCAAAAGAAAACACUACAAAUAUUAUAGAUUGUCUUGAUAAAGGUCCUACCUGGAUAAACAAUGAUGACCGGAAUCAAAUGAUCAAAGAUGUUUGGUCCACCCCUGAAUUUCAAAGGAGAUCUGAAUCUGCUAGGAGGAAUCGAUUAACCAAAAAAGAUGGCAAAAUAAGCACUCAUUCUGGAGGAACAGUGUCAUUUGCAUCAUAUCGAGCUAACAUGGUAAGGAUUUUUUUUUAUGCUUAAGAUAAUAAAUUAAAAUUUGUAUAUUUAUCUUUUAUAAUAUUUAUUAAUCUUGAAAGCAAGAGGAAGCUGGUGGAAAAGAACCUCCAUGGGAUGAUGUCUUUUCAGCUUUGCAUCAAAGUACUAAGCAAUCUGGUAGCUUCGUCGACAACAAGUCUAAAAAAGUGGUUGUAUGUAUUUUUAUUUGAUUAUUUCUUAAUAUAACUUAAGUAUUAUUCAACAUUCAAAUUAAUUUAUUGUUGCAUGUAUUUUAUUUGUAGGAAAAUUAUAAAAUGGAGAUGAUUUCAAAGUAUGGAACUGAUCGAGAAAAUCAUCAUUCAUUUGAUGGAGCAGCUUGGUGUGUGGCUUCAGGAGGAGUUACAAAGGGUAGGGUAUAUGGUGCACCUCGUAUGCCAAAAUCAAAAGUUAGUACAAGCUCUUCAUCACAUUCCUACUCGGUGGAGUCAUCAUAUCCCAGUUCAUCGUAUCGAGCAUUGCAAAAGGAGAUAAAGGAUAAAGAAGAGGAGAUAAAGAAAAAAGAUGAUUUUAUUCUUGAAAUGAAACGGCAGAUAGAUUCCAUGAAAGAAUAUCUUGUGAACAAUCUUGGAUACCAUAGUGGGACAUCAAAUAUUGAUCAAGGUAUGCCACCACCUUUGACUCCAUCAAUACCGCCACCUAUGGCUCCUCAGAUAAUGACACCUAUGGGUCCCGCAUGUCAACCAAUUUUUUGACCUACACCUCGACCUUUAUAUCCUGAUCAAUCUUGUGUUGAUCCACAAUAUCAUGGUUCGUCUUCGCAACCAGCACCAUGAUUGUAUCUUUUGUUGUUUUUUUUUAUUGUAUUUGAACUUAAUUGUAUUAAUGCAAGUUUAACUAAAUUUUUAUAAUAUGAAUAUUAUUUUUAUUUUGUUUUUUAUUAAUGAUAUAAUUAUUUUUAAUAUUAAUUAAUUUAUGUUGGUUAUAUAUAUUCUACAACUUUUAAAAUAUCCAUAAAUAAUUAAAUAAAUAAAUUAAAAGUCAUUUUAAUAAAUAAAUAAAAAUUAAUUUAAUAAAAACAAAUGCAAUCACAACGGAUUCUCCGUUGGUGAUUGCAACUGAUGCAUGAAUCAGCAACGGAGAAUCCGUUGCUGAUUCACAAAACUAGCAACAGAUUUAUCCGUUGCUAAUUACUCCAUUUUUUAGUAGUGUUUCCUCAACCUCAAUUGUUUUUACUGCUACACUCUACUUCAUGAGCCGUCCAAGAAAAGUUUACUUGGUGGAUUUUUCAUGUUACAAGCCCGGACCAGCUCAUAUAGCAUCUAGAGAACUCUUCAUGCAGUUAUCUGCAGCGUCCGAGGUUUUCACAGAGCAAAGCUUAGCUUUUCAAAAGAAAAUCCUAGAGAAAUCAGGCUAUGGUGAAAUGACCUACGCUCCAAUAGGCUUGAUGCGUGUCCCGCCAUACCAGUCCAUGGCUGAAUCCUGGAGGGAAUCAGAGAUGGUGAUGUUCGGAGCAAUUGAUGAUCUCUUGGCCAAAACAAGGGUGAAGCCUAGAGACAUAGGAAUACUUGUGGUGAAUAGCAGUUUGUUCAAUCCCACGCCGUCUCUCUCAGCUAGAGUUGUGAAUCACUACAAGCUUAGAGGGAACAUUUUGAGCUAUAAUCUUGGUGGUAUGGGCUGCAGUGCAGGACUUAUUUCUAUUGAUCUUGCCAAAGACCUUUUACAGGUUUGUUACUUCAAAUGGCAAACUUUUACGGUUUUUAAGGUGCCACUUUCGGAUUUAGCAAUUUAAUUUGAAUGAUUUGACGACGGUACGGUUGAUAUAUAGCAUGAUUUGCACAUAUGUAUGAUAUUCUUAAAAUUAAGCAUGAGUUUGUACAUAUUUCAAGUGUACGUGUCAAAAGGUCUCGGGUUUAAAUAUUUCCUUUAUAUAAUAAAAGUAAUAAUAAUUACAAGGAUUGACACUUCAUUGUACCAGGUGCAUCCCAACUCCUAUGCCCUAGUGGUUAGCACCGAGAACAUUACUCGCAACUGGUAUUUUGGCAAUGACCGAUCGAUGCUUGUCACCAACUGCCUCUCCCGUAUGGAAGCAGCCGCAGUCCUCCUAUCCAACCGGACAUUUGAUCGCCGUCGCUCAAAGUAUCAACUUAUCCGUACUGUACGUACACAUAAGGGUGCAGAUGAUAAGUCCUUCAACUGUGUCUUGCAACGAGAGGAUCUUGACACCCAAAGAGUUGGUGUCUCUCUCUCAAAAGACCUAAUGGCUAUAGCUGGAGAAGUCCUUAAAACGAAUAUAACCACUCUGGGCCUAUUAGUUCUUCCAGUCUCCGAGCAACUUCUAUUCUUUGUAACCUUAAUUGCCCAAAAAAUCUUCAAGAAGAAGAUAAAACCAUAUAUUCCUGAUUUCAAGUUGGCAUUUGAGCACUUCUGCAUCCACGCGGGGUUAAUAAUCUUUUUAUUUUUAACACAAAAAAUUAUUUUCAAUAUUUAUAUUUUCAAUUACUUUCCAGACGCAUCACUUUUAAAUAUUGAUUUAGAUGGUAAACCACUUUAUUUAUUGUAUUUAAUAUUGUAAUCCUCACCCUACCCUUCCUAAAAUAUCAAUUACUUUCUCUGUUUCAUAAAGAGAGUUUUAUUAAACUUCACACAAAUCAUUUCGUUUUGUUUGCCACCCUAGUCUUUCGCAAUCUUUCUUCAAGACACUUCCAAUUUUCGAGAGAGAAAACUCAUAUAUUUUUUUUAUCAUAUUUAUUACAUUACAUUUUAAAAUUACAUGUAGUUGAAAAAAAAUGUGAAUUCAAUUUUUAAAAGAAGUAAAAUAAUAAAAUUUGACACUCUAUUCUUUUUAUUUAUGAAUAAAACAUAUGUUUUAAGAUAUCUAAAGGAAAAAAGAACUCUCUCUUUGAGAUGAGAUGGAAGAAAUAUAAUGUUUAUUCUAUAGGCUCCACAUGUAAACAAUCACCAUAAAAUUAUAAUUAUUUUACUCGAUUCAAAAACUAAACUAAAAAGGAUAUGAGGUGUUCAGUUACUAGACUAACUUGUGGAUCAUCAUAUCAAUUCAGUGGAUCAAUGACAUGCUAUAUUAAAAAUAAUUCAGUGUUGAAUAUAAUCAUGCUUUAAUUUCAACAAAUUUUUAAUUUAAUUUCAAUAUAUUUUUUAAUUAAUUUUAAAAUUAAAUAAUAAUUUAAAAACUUGAGAGUUUGAACUAACAGAUAUAAAUCACGAUGAAAUUUCAACCUCUCUAUAACUCCUACAUAAUAUCUUAAAAUCAAUUAUAUUGUAAUUUUUACAUUUUUAAAUAUUCCUAAAUGAUGAAAAAAAAUUAACUGGCUAAAAAAAUGCUAACUAGUCUAUUGACCCGCGUUCUGUCUUUGUCAGAUUAAUUUUUUUUAAAUGUAAAAAAGAAUAUUGAGAGCACGAAGAUUUUUUUUUUAUAGUGUUAUUAACUCUGAUCAAAUAGGUCAAUCUUAAAACCUUUCGUCUCAGCUCUUUGCCAAACUCAAGUUUUCGAUUAAAUCGUGUGGCAGCUUGUCUGAUUUAAACAAUCAAUUUUAUGGAUCCAAAUAUAACUUGGAUGGCUGAUGAAAACAUGAAUUAGCUUUCAAAAAAAAUUCAAGAUAAUUUGUUUUAAAAAAAAUAUCGAGACAAUGACAUAUUGGAUCAAUCCCGGUCCCCCAAUAACACGGAUCAUGGACUCUAUUGGAUUUAAUAAUCUUUUUUUAUAAAUUCUUUUUAAUUAUAUAAUACAAAUAGAUGCUCGUAAAAUUAAACAGCAACCCUAAAAUAUAUAUUUAUUUGAUAUUAGGAUAACCCUAUAGAAAACAAACAAAAAUAAACCUUAUAGUCUAUUCCUAACCACAAAUAUUGAAGGACGAAAUAAAAAAAUAAAGGAUCAAAAAUAAAAAAAAGCAUAUCCAGUCUGUUAGUAAACCUGUCAAACCAGUGAAUCGGGUAACUUGAGCUAGCAUGCCAAACUAGUGAACGGGGUUAUGGACUCCACUGAGAUUAUAAUUUGUUUUUUCUUAAAAAAAUAUUUUUUAUUUAACUAUAUGAUAAUAAAAAUAGACGAUCGCAAAAUCGAAUAUUAACUCGAUACCGAGAUAUUUUUUGAGACCGCAAUAACUUUAUAGAAAGUAAAUCGAAACCAAUUAUGGAAUUGAAUUCUCAAUUAACCCAAUAUCUAUAGAUGAAAUUGAAAAAAAGAGUUAAACUUUCCAAACUUGCGAACCAUGUCAACCAACCGAACCUAUGAACAGAUCCAUGAACUUUAUAAAGUUUAAUAACAUGUCUUUUUUUCGAAACUAUUUUUUUAACUAUACGAGAAAAAAAUAAACGAUAACAAACUCAAGUUCAAUUAAAAAAAAACAUUUUGCCAAACCCAUAAACCAGGAUAACUUGGGUUACCCAAGUAAACCCGCAAACUACUUUAACCAUAUAAAAAAAUAAAUUAAAAAUAAAUAAAUUACAAGAUUCAAUUCUAAAUUACCUCAAUAUUAAAAGAUAGAAUAGACAAAAACAAUUUAAAAAAAAAAAACCAAUAAGCAAAGUGAGAGCAUAUCAUGAAAUUUUUGCUAUAAAAAUAAUAAUAGCAAAGGCUAAAAGUUUUGUAUGCUUAAGACUGUAUGCUUAAAGGAAAAGUGGACGACGGACGACGUGGUUUUGUCCCACAGGUUGAAAAAAGGCUUGUGAUGAAAUCGUUUCAGCCUAGCUUAAGUUUAAUUUCCCAUUCUUCUGCUUGUCGUGCAUCUUUUAUUCCCCGAGCUAAACUCAACAGAACACUCAUUACCCACAAAAAAAAAAAACAUACCCCUCCCCUGUCCAUUUCACUCAUAGUUUUAAGAUCCGGCCCGGGUUCCGGGUUCCGGGUUUUGAUUGGGUUACCGGGUUUUGGCCGGGUCAGUUCUUGUUUUUUAAAAUCAAAACGACGUCAUUUUAGUAAAAAAUAAAAAAUAAAAAAGUCAACGGGUUUGCAACCGGGUCUUGCUGGGUCAACUGGGUCGCCAGGUUAGCUGAGCCACACCGGGUUUUUCCUUCCCCUGUUUUUUCUUCAACCCGGCCCGGUUCCAGCCUCGGGUCGGCCGGGUCCCGGGUCGACCCGCUGGGCCCGGCCGGGUUUCAAAACUAUGCUUUCACUCGAAGGGUUAGUUCGAGUUUCUUCCCAUUCUUCUGCUUCUCGUGCAUCUUUCGUUUUGAUAUUUGACUCGCAUUUCACAACAGUUUAGAUAUUUUUUUCUCAAUAAAAAAAAAUGUAUAUAUAGACUUUUUCAACAUGUUUUUUAGUUAAAAAAUAAUUCUAAGUGAAAAUCAAAAUAUUUAUACAUACAUGCAAUCAAAUAAAUUGAGAAAUAUGUGUGUUAAUAAAUGAAAAAAAACCAUAAAUGAUGACUAAAAAUAAAAACUAGAAAAAUCAAGAGACAUGUGUAUAUCAAGAUAUUUAAUUUCACAAGAUUAUGACAUUUAGGUGGUUGUGUUUGCUAAAUUUGUUAAUUAAAAUAAUUUUUUUAUCCAAUCAAAUGAUAAUAAAAAUAGACACACAUAUUAAAUUGUUUGAAUAAAAUAAAAGGAAAAAAAUAAUAUGCAAAGCUGUACAUAUUAGAAAUAUUAUUUGAAAAUAAUUUUUUUUUAUUUUCAGAAAUAAAGUUCAUAUAUACAAUAGAUUGAAAAAAAAUAUAGAUUAAUCAGAAAAACAUCAUCAGAAAUUAAAUGCAUAAUUAAAAAAUAAUUGUCAUUUCAAAUAGGCUUUUUAAAUAACAUAAAAGAGAGAAGAGAUAUUGAUCUAAAUAUAAAUAAAAAUAAAAUUAAGAUUAAGAUUAAUUAAAAAAAUAA